GAUGAACGCUGGCGGCGUGCCUAAUACAUGCAAGUAGAACGCUGAAGGAAGGAGCUUGCUCUUUCCGGAUGAGUUGCGAACGGGUGAGUAACGCGUAGGUAACCUGCCUGUUAGCGGGGGAUAACUAUUGGAAACGAUAGCUAAUACCGCAUAACAGUAUAUAUCGCAUGAUAUCUACUUAAAAGGUGCAAUUGCACCACUAUCAGAUGGACCUGCGUUGUAUUUGCUAGUUGGUGAGGUAACGGCUCAACAAGGCGAAGAUACAUAGCCGACCUGAGGGGGGGAUCGGCCACCCUGGGAAUGGGAACAGGGCCAGAACUCUUACGGAGGGAGCAGUAAGGAAACCUCGGCAAAGGGCGGAAGUCUGACCGAGCCAAGCCGCGGGGGUGAAGAAGGUUUUCGGAUUGUAAAGACCCGUUGUAAGAGAAGAAAGAGAGGGGGAGUGGACUGUUCACGCUGUGACGGUACCUUACCAGAAAGGGACGGCUAACUACGUG
rnacentral:rRNA from 1 species